UUUCAUUCAAAAAAGCCAAACGGUGUGUUUUCCAUCUCCUUCUCCCCAAGGCUUUCCCUCUCUCUCUCUCCUUCCUUCUCCGAAUCGAACCUUCUCUAGUUCUCCCUUUCAUGUUCCCCUCAUCUCCAAGGCUUGAUCUCCUGCAUUUGUUUCAACUAAUUGGCCUGCAUUUUCUCUCUGUACUGCAUCUAUUUCUUCGAUUUACCCAGUUGAGAUUUUCACCCAAUGUUCGGCUACACAAAUUCAUUCGAAUCUUCGAGAUCUCUAUGUUCGACUGCAUGGAUUCAUUAAUUCGAAUCUUUGAAUUUUCCCCCUUCAACCCUAAGUCUAACCGUAACCCUAACCCUAACCUAGCCCUUCCUCUUUAUCUCGACCUUCUCGUUCCUGACCCGUUCUCCUUCAUCGCAAAUGGGCACUGGACAAAUGAUUGGCUGAGAAGCUGAAAGCUUGGUUUGAGUGUGCAAGAUCUUUAAAGUAAAUCAGUUUUUUCUGGUUUGGACUGUCACCAUACUGUCUUCAAAUUUAAUGAAGAAUCCAAUUUUUGCAUGUUCUUAUUCAAGUUAGGUACUAUUAGAUUGUUCUUUUUAUAUUCUUGAUUAUGGACUCACAUUUUGGCAGGCUAAAUUAAUAGAGUGUUGGUUGAGGUUGUAAUUUUCAUCAAUGCAAGGAAAGCCUCUGCCUAAUUGGUCCCUGUAGACUUUAAUACAUGGUAGCUCUGUCCUUUGGAAUCCGCUUUGAUUGGCUCUUUUGUUGUAUUAUUAAUAUGUAUAAUUUACAAAAAAUACAUUCCAUAUA